GAUGAACGCUGGCGGCGUGCUUAACACAUGCAAGUCGAACGAAGCAUUUAGAACAUAUUACUUCGGUUUGAAGUUCUUUAUGACUGAGUGACUUACGGGUGAGUUACGUGUCGGUAACCUGUCCUUUACUGGGGGAUAGCCUCUGGACACGGCUUUUAUUGCCUCAUAAGCUCCCAAUGUUGCAUGACAUGGUGUGAAAAAUUUGGGUGGGAUAGGAUGGACACGCGUCUGAUUAGCUAGUUGGUGAGUUACCAGCCUACCAAGGCGACGAUUAGUAGCCGACAUGAGAGGGUGAGCGGCCACACUGGGACUGAGACACGGCACAGACUCCUACGGGAGGCAGCAGUGGGGAAUAUUGCACAAUGGAGGAAACUCUGAUGCAGCGAUGCCGCGUGAGUGAAGAAGUAAUUAGUGAUGUAAAGCUCUAUUACCAGGGAAGAUAGUGACGGUACCUGACUAAGAAGCUCCGGCUAAAUACGUG
rnacentral:rRNA from 1 species